GUGGAUCUGCUGUCCUGUUGGUUUUCUCUCCAACUCUAAUAUUGCACACCUGAUACUAAUCAUUAGGGACGAAAAACGAAAUCAGGUUGGUCACAAAUGUGGUUCAAGAAAAAAAAAAAAUACUGCUAGACGGUUGAUCUCCAGGAACAGGUUUGGCCAGCCCAGCUUAGAUCACUCACUGUGAUACAAAAUUAGAGCGGGUGUGCUUUCUUUCACCGUGCGGAAACGUCUUAUGAUGAAGGCAAGCGCAAGAGGAAGAAGCAGAAGGGAAGAUGUCCAAAAUAUGGGAAACAAUGUUAUGUACUGGAUCAGAAGGGAGUCUUAACAGGAUCAGACAGCCAGGGGAUUCAAUUCUUUCAAACAUGAGGUGAAUUUUGCAAUAUAUGGAAAAUUACCUGCUAGACCAUAGAAGAACUCUAGAGUGGACAACUAAAGAAUGCUCGCCAUAAUGAAGAAAAGAGUAUCUGUCCAAUAGAUCAGAAACCCUCUAAGAGGUAAGCGUGGAUGUGUCUUCACCUGGUAAACUAAAGAGGCUGAAGUGUGGACUGCAAGUUGACAUCAAAAACAGGGUGGCCGGGAAAAAUAACAAAAGGAGCCUGCAGAAUUCUGGAAAAAGCAGGGUAAUGACCCAGAAGAUACUGCUAAACUAAGGGCUAAAAAGUGAUUUGUUAUUGACUGGCCAAGUUCAUCACGAGACGGGAUCCAACUGAUCAAGGGUUUCACUUGCUGAAGACAAGACAUCCGGAACAAACGGAGACUGCAGAUGCGCUGCUGGGCUUUUAGCAAUUACCAGGGCAAUUACCCAGCAUGCUGCAGUCCCCGUUUGCAUGUGCAUCACAUGUAAAGGAUUUGUAAUCAAACACUUAAUAUGACCACUUAUGUUAUUUCAAAUAGUUAAUUUCAGCAAUUACCUUUGGUCUGCUAAAAUAGGGUGUGUGUCUAUAAAGGGCUGUACAUUUCUACACGGUUCAUGGUUCUUCCCUCAAACAGAGCCAGAACAGCCAAACCUGUGACUGUACCAAUACUUAUGGACUGCGCUUUGUUGUAGGGAGACAGUCAUAUUCUGUUAUAAGAUGGAAAAUCCAAAUAUGAGUUCCCAAUCGAGCGAGGAGUACUGUAACAAGAAGUGUGUUCCAGUCUCCUUUCCCUCCCUACUGGAGCUGAACCGUGACAGCCUGUCCAAUCAGGACGUGUUCAUCCAUCCUGACUGAGGCACAGCCUAAAAGAAACGUGUGUUACAUUCCAACGCUGUAGAUCUGUGAUGUUUAUCACUAUCUGAGGCCAGCAUGGUCUUGCACUUACAUUCUUCAAGGAGUCUACAGUAUCUGGUUGCAUAUCUGCCACUGAGGUCUUUUUGCCCGUAAAGCCGUCAGGCACACGUAGUUUCACGUAGCGAAUAUUAGGCACAGAUUCGAGAAAUGAAUUUCCUUACAUCAUCCAGAAAAUAACCUUUUUAAUCUGAUCUUCACCUUGCACACUGUGGUUGCUUUUGAGGCCUUGUGAGAGAGAAGUCCAUAAAAUCUUUGAGAGCUACUUGACAUUUCCAUGCCUUUUAGAUGUUAGACUCCCUGAAAAUCUAAUCAAUACAUGUUGCUGCCUGAAUGAUUCAUUUUCAUAACUGGUUGACAUUCCUAUAUUAUACUAAUAAUAUUGUACAUAAAAUAUGCCACUUAUAGUUAACUCUGGAAACCAUAAAAAAUCCAACAUGCAGUAAUAUCAGUCUGACAGUAGAAGGCACUAAUCCCACACAAACCUAACCAGGUGUACUAUUUGAGUAUUCAACAUGCUAUCAUGUUGAAAGCCUAGUUAUAUUGUCCAAGGACUUACAGAUUACGUUUUUUAUUUAUUAGUUGUCUAUUGAACCACAAAUCUAUGCAUUGCUCUUGUCUUGUUCAUACUCAUUGAUUGUUGUUAUUGGAAGGUGCUUUUUUUUUAUAGAAAACGUCAUAUUUGCGAUCUGAGUGAUUCCUUGGUCAUAAUUGAUUAAAUAGACAUUUGGAAAUGAUCCACUGUGACAUUCAAUCUCCUCCAAAACUCUACUAACUACUGAAAAGGCCACUGAUUGUUUAUUAUUCAUUCUAAAGUAGACUCAGUGGGUGUAGGAGAACCAAACAGUCCCCUGUGUCAUUCUAAAGGAAGUUAUUUUAGUGAAUCCACCUGUGAACUAUCUAUAGAUGCUAGUUGUCAUCCUUUCAUCCCAGUCACUAACUAUGCUUGCCCC
ensembl:lncRNA